rnacentral:tRNA from 1 species
GGGCAUUUGGUCUAGUGGUAUGAUUCUUGCUUCGGGAGCAAGAGGUCCCGAGUUCCAUUCUCGGAAUGCCCC